AAAAGAGAGAGAACUGGCUGUGACAUCUGUCACCCAUUGAUCUCCAGGGUUGAUUCGGCUGAGCUGGCUGGCUAUGCUGGCGUAACCAUCCACCCUCACUUCUCCUUUUGUGACCCUCUCUAAACUGCACACUUUGAUGACCUUCCCCAAAUAGAAGAGGACCAGUUUUCGGUCGAGGCUAUACUUGUAAUGUGCAUGUGCACUGCCUUUUUGUUGUCCAAUGCAUUUGUUGUAGGAUGCUAGGUUAUU
rnacentral:sRNA from 1 species